GCGGACGUGGCUCAGUUGGUAGAGUAUCACCUUGCCAAGGUGAGGGUCGCGGGUUCGAACCCCGUCGUCCGCUCCA
rnacentral:tRNA from 1 species